GUGUUCGUAGAAAGGAGAGAUGGUUGGCAUCUCCCCCUGACAGGGACGGGCUUUCGAGGUUCCUUGUUCACGCAUCCGGUUAAGGCAAUCCACUUCGGUGGAUCUUAUAGCCCAAUUUUUUU
rnacentral:ncRNA from 1 species